GAUGAACGCUGGCGGCGUGCCUAAUACAUGCAAGUCGAGCGAACGGACGAGAAGCUUGCUUCUCUGAUGUUAUCGGCGGACGGGUGAGUAACACGUGGAUAACCUACCUAUAAGACUGGGAUAACUUCGGGAAACCGGAGCUAAUACCGGAUAAUAUUUUGAACCUCAUGGUUCAAAAGUGAAAGACGGUCUUGCUGUCACUUAUAGAUGGAUCCGCGCUGCAUUAGCUAGUUGGUAAGGUAACGGCUUACCAAGGCAACGAUGCAUAGCCGACCUGAGAGGGUGAUCGGCCACCCUGGAACUGAGACACGGUCCAGACUCCUACGGGAGGCAGCAGUAGGGAAUCUUACGCAAUGGGCGAAAGCCUGACGGAGCAACGCCGCGUGAGUGAUGAAGGUCUUCGGAUCGUAAAACUCUGUUAUUAGGGAAGAACAUAUGUGUAAGUAACUGUGCACAUCUUGACGGUACCUAAUCAGAAAGCCACGGCUAACUACGUG
rnacentral:rRNA from 1 species